GGAGGAAGGAAAGGUGAAGGCCAAGGUGGAUGUGAAGGAGAAGGAGAGGAUGCGUCGCUCAGAAAUCAAACCAGUGUUCAGAUUGUGAAGCGCACGAGCGACAAACACGAGCGGCGCGGCCCGGGAAACAAGACGCUCUGCUGCUGUUUCUGCUUCCGCAACCACCCUACGGCUUUAGCUUUUCAUGUUCUGUAAUCUCCCACCUAUGUAUCAAUACACAAAUGGGACGACUAAUCAGGAGGGAUUCAGAGUGAGGCGAGCUAAUUAAUUAUUAACUAUUACCUAUGCUAGUAGUACUAUCAUUUCGAUUCAGCGAAUCAAAUCUGCUUUACAUCAAAUUCAGAGACGAGAAAAGUGUCAACAGAAUUAAAAAAAAAAAAUCUUGGUUUUAAAUGCAGGAUAUCCAUUACGAAUUAAAAGCGGCAUUAAUGACAAUGAUUUUAAAGCUACACGGGUCAGCGAGAUGUCUCUAAAAAGGGUCCAUAGAGUUGGCAUGAAAGGUGGAACUGGAAACGGCGGGAAAGAGUGAGAUGAAAACCAGAGAGGGGGCCAAAAAAAGCAGGGGAUAACAGCACGAGGGAGCAACGAUUACAGCUAACAAAGAUAGCAGAGGGAGAGAAGUAGAUGGGUAGCGAGAAUGAUACCCUUCGAGCUAGCGAAAGCGAUGACUCGAAACUCUAGAAGGCCUAUGAGUGGCAGGUGUCCACUUGGAACAACACAUAGGGUUUCUUAUUACAGCAAUAAACCAACUAACUCUUGCUCUGUAUUCAGUCCAGAUUUAAUUUGGUUGGGUUUCGCGCUUCAGUGUGUGUCUUCUGCGUAUAUUACCUCGGCCUUGUAUUUCCUUUUCAGAAUGUAAAAAUAUGCGUGACAAUUUUCUGGCUCGGGGUUGGCGUUUAAUCCGAGAGAGAAAAAUUAAAGGAGGGAAACAGAACGUCUUGUUGUGGCAGGGUCUGGAGGGUCAUGAAUUGCAUAUUCCUCAGCUUCCCAUUUUAAUGACAUGGAAAGAGCCUUUCUCUCUUGCCACUUUCUAUCACCCAGAGCUAUCAGAUUCUCUCUCUAAAAGCAGGUAUCAAGUUUUCCCCUUUCUGCAAAAGAUGUUUCA